CCUCCCAUAGAAUUCACCUAUAGAUUGCAAAUCUCUCUCGCCAUGCUAAGAUUAUCUUUCUUACUACCAAUUCUUUCUAGGCUUCGUCAUUUCUUUCCUAACGUCUUCUGAUUCCACUUUGAGACAACCCAGCACUCUGGAAUCUUUGCUGCAACUUCUCCAAUGAACAGAUGUUCCUUUCCAUCCUCUUAACAAGGCUCCAUCAUUUCUUUCCUAACGUCUUCUGAUUCCACUUUGAGACAACCCAGCACUCUGGAAUCUUUGCUGCAACUUCUCCAAUGAACAGAUAUUCCUUUCCAUCCUCUUAACAAGGUGUCCACCCUAGAAUAUCGGGAUAAGUGGUUGCAGGCAAGCAAAGCAUGUGUUGGUGCCCCUGUGGUUUUCAGAUACCUCAGCAGAUGUAUUUGGUUCAAGAUUGGAUGGGGAGUGGCAGACCUCCACUUUGGCCAGUGAGGCUCCAUCAUUUCUUUCCUAACGUCUUCUGAUUCGACUUUGAGACAACCCAGCACUCUGGAAUCUUUGCUGCGACUUCUCCAAUGGACAGAUGUUCCGUUCCAUCCUCUUAACGAGGUAAAGUGCUCCUAUUUUCAACUUUCCUCCUUCAACUCAGAAUGGAGACUAAGUCUGUCCUUUCUAGGUUCUCUACUUAAUGGGCCUUGGCUCCAGGUAAAUAGAAUUCUCAGGGGAGAUCAAAUAACUAGUUUUCCCUCUGCUGUAGAAUUAUUUCUCAAGUCAAUGAAAAGGAUAGGAAACAAUCCUUCUCCAGAUUCAGUACGUUGGGGACUCCUCCGAAUAUCUCUUAAAGAUGUCACCUUCAGUAAUACUUCAGAUUCUGGGCUGCAGUAAAUUCUGGUCUAGGCUUUUGGCUCCUAUGAAACCUCUUCAGGCAAAUCUUCCCUGUCAUAUGUUUUUAUCUCUUCACCCCCAUACCAGAACUGGGGGAGGGAGGGGUAAAAUCCCAGGGCAUUCAUAGAAAUGUCUUAGGAAUUUCCCAGGUCUCUUUCUCAAGCUGUCCUGUGCCAAAGAUCAUUAGAAAUAAUGCACACAAAACCAUCAGUUUUCUCCACUUCGAAAGGAAAAUUAGUUCUCCUUAUUCCCUGGUCUUUUCAAACAAAAACUUAUCUGUUGAAAUGGUUGCACUCUGGAAAUUGACCUUCAAAAUGCCCCAAAUCAGGUUAUUGUAGAUGAUGCUUUUCCUUUUUCAAAAACUCAAACUGGUUACAUUUUCUCUCCAAAAACAAAACUUAGGGUUACUAAGGAAGAGGUUCAAAAUUUCCUCUAACUAGUAACAUCUCUACUAUUCCCUUCCCUUUUUUCAUUUUUUACUCUAAUUUCCUUUGGGCUGCCAAUUUGUCUUUCUCUUCUCCUUGCCUCAAAGCACUUUGGCCUAUGGCUAAAGCUGCUCUUAGAGAGGAAAUUUGUGGUUCAUAUAAAAAAUGUUCAGGGUUUCCUCAUGAUUAAAAGUAAAGCAUUCCCCACCGUAUUUCAUGUCCUUUGACAACAAUUUAAAGACCAGUCAGGUCUGUAGUUGCCCAUCCUCAAAUGAACAUUCUUUACUCCAGAAAUACCACACACACACACACACACACACACACACACACACACACACACACAACACACACGAGUAAACUGAAAAAAAAAACCACUCCUGCUCUUUACAAAUACCAGCUUGACAAAAAUGUGAAAUGACUGCACUCAAAUAACCAAGUUAAUACCUCAAAGGAAAUGCAUCUUAUUGGCAAUAAUCAAAAUUUCCUAUACUUGAUAUACACGAUUUCAUAUAUUAGUCCUAGCAAAACUUGGGAAGAAAAUAUUAGACAGUAAAGUCAAGAAUUUCUGGACCUCC
ensembl:lncRNA